rnacentral:rRNA from 1 species
AUUGAACGCUGGCGGCAGGCCUAACACAUGCAAGUCGAGCGAGCGGCGGACGGGUGAGUAAUGUAUGGGGACUGCCCGAUAGAGGGGGAUAACUACUGGAAACGGUGGCUAAUACCGCAUACUAUCGGAUAACCCAUAUGGGAUUAGCUAGUAGGUGGGGUAAAGGCUCACCUAGGCGACGAUCUCUAGCUGGUCUGAGAGGAUGAUCAGCCACACUGGAACGUAGACACGGCCCAGACUCCUACGGGGGCAGCAGGGGGGAAUAUUGCACAAGGGGCGCAAGCCGUAUGCAGCAAUGCGGCGUGUAUGAAGAAGGCCUUCGGGUUGUAAAGUACUUUCAGCGAGGAGGCGUUACUCGCAGAAGAAGCACCGGCUAACUCCGUGCCAGCAGCCGCGGUAAUAC